rnacentral:rRNA from 1 species
AUACGUAGGGUGCGAGCGUUGUCCGGAAUUACUGGGCGUAAAGAGCUCGUAGGUGGUUUGCCGCGUCGUCUGUGAAAUUCCGGGGCUUAACUCCGGGCGUGCAGGCGAUACGGGCAUAACUUGAGUACUGUAGGGGUGACUGGAAUUCCUGGUGUAGCGGUGAAAUGCGCAGAUAUCAGGAGGAACACCGGUGGCGAAGGCGGGUCUCUGGGCAGUAACUGACGCUGAGGAGCGAAAGCAUGGGUAGCGAACAGGAUUAGAUACCCUGGUAGUCCAUGCCGUAAACGGUGGGCGCUAGGUGUAGGGGUCUUCCACGACUUCUGUGCCGUAGCUAACGCAUUAAGCGCCCCGCCUGGGGAGUACGGCCGCAAGGCUAAAACUCAAAUGAAUUGACGGGG